rnacentral:rRNA from 1 species
UACGGCUCAGUAACACGUGGCUAACCUACCCUCGAGACAGGGACAACCCCGGGAAACUGGGGCUAAUCCCAGAUAGAUGAAGACCCCUGGAAUGGGUCCUCGUCCAAAAGGCACUGCGGUUAUGCUCUGUGGUGUCGCUCAAGGAUGGGGCCGCGUCCGAUCAGGCUGUUGGUGAGGUAAUGGCUCACCAAACCUAUAACCGGUACGGGCCGUGGGAGCGGGAGCCCGGAGAUGGGAACUGAGACAAGGUCCCAGGCCCUACGGGGCGCAGCAGUUACGAAAACUUGUCAAUGCACGAAAGUGUGAACGGGCUACCCCGAGUGCCGUCCGCUGAGGAUGGCUUUUCUCUGCUGUAAGAAGGCAGAGGAAUAAGGCGAGGGCAAGUCUGGUGUCAGCCGCCGCGGUAAUACCAGCUCGCCGAGUGGUAGGGAUGAUUAUUGGGCCUAAAGCGUCCGUAGCUGGCCUUUCAAGUCUCUUGUUAAAUCCAACGAUUCAAUCGCUGGACUGCAGGAGAUACUGCAAGGCUAGGAGGCGAGAGAAGCCGACGGUAUUUUCGGGGUAGGGGUAAAAUCCUAUAAUCCCGAGAAGACCACCAGUGGCGAAGGCGGUCGGCUAGCGCGCGCUCGACGGUGAGGGACGAAAGCUGGGGGAGCGAACCGGAUUAGAUACCCGGGUAGUCCCAGCUGUAAACGAUGCUGGCUAGGUGUUGAAGCGGCCACGAGCCGCUUCAGUGCCGCAG